UUCUCCAUCAUUUUUGUGAUUGUUGCAAUUAUGUGUUUUUGAAGUUGCAUAGUCAUAAAAGUGAUGGGAAG
rnacentral:pre_miRNA from 1 species